CCCUCCACCAGCCUGGGGGACGGUGCCGGCCGAACGCGGCAGUCGCUGGGCCCGGAUUCGGACGGGCUGAUGGGCCCCAAGCGUCGGUUGGACGGCGAUCCGGGACUGGCAUUCUCCAACAGCUCGUCAGACAUGCCGGAGGCGCGCUCGGACGUGCGGCUGAUCGUGGAGUGAACGGGCCGCCCGGGCCGGAGCGCUCUGCGGCGGCAAUGGGGCCGCUCUUACCGGCGGCCGUGCGGGGCGUCGCACCGUCC